AAAUUGAAGAGUUUGAUCAUGGCUCAGAUUGAACGCUGGCGGCAGGCCUAACACAUGCAAGUCGAACGGUAACAGGAAUCAGCUUGCUGAUUCGCUGACGAGUGGCGGACGGGUGAGUAAUGUCUGGGAAACUGCCUGAUGGAGGGGGAUAACUACUGGAAACGGUAGCUAAUACCGCAUAAUGUCGCAAGACCAAAGAGGGGG
rnacentral:rRNA from 1 species